CAGAGGAUUUUGCAAGCAGAGCACCUCUGCUGGCAGCAGCAGCCCAGGAUGGCAGCUGUCCUGAAGGAAAGGCAUGGGUUUGACACUGAGGAGAGUGGAGGGAAAGCUCAAAGGGUGAGAAUGGUCCCCAAAGUCUUCUUAAACUACUCAGCUCAUCCCAGAAGGAAGGAUGUCCAAUGGCUCUGUUCUUCAGCGCAUUCGUCAAGGCCAGCCACAGAGAAGGCUCUCAAUGGAAUGAUGUUCCUAGAGGGCGUGGAUACACCUCUACCAAGGCAUCUACAAAUGAACUGUAUUUACAUUUCUGUGGCUUUUUCUUUUGGUAAGUAGAACCUCAGUGAUGAUGGCUUUGAAGGGUGCGGCUGUGCACACCAAAGAAUGUCGCAGUCUUAUUUAAUGCCUUUAAUGUUCCCUAAAGAGGUAGUUUGUUUGUGCAUUUCAGCUCCAACUGCCUGGUUGAGAAGUAGGUUUGUUUGCUGCUGACAGUCCUGCUGACUUUUUGUAGGCCGUGCAUAGCUCACACGCAGGACUCUCUCAGUCAGACCUGCUCUUGCAUCUACAUGCAGCACACAAAAGGAGACCAUAGUUAACAAAGUCUUGGUGAAAACCAUUCAAGUGUCAUGUACCCACCAAAUAUGAACCCUGGAAUACUGCUUACUUUGUAGGCAAAAGCGCUCACAUAUACCUCAAUAGCAUCCUCUCUAGUAUAGAAUCAUGCUGUUUAGUGAUUCCAGUAUGGCACUCAGAAGCCACAUGCGGCUAUUGAGCAUGUGAAAUGUGGCCAGUCUGGUUUGAAAUGUGUUCAGUAUGAAAGCAUGCUAGAAUUCUAAAGACUUAGUAGGAAAACAAAUAAUGUAAAAUGUAUCAGUACUUUUUUGUAUGAGUUGCACGUUGAAAUGAUAAUAUUCUGGAUAGAUUGGGUUAAAUAAAAACAUACAAUUAGAAUUAAUUUCACUUGUUUCUUUUUCUAUUUUUAAUGUAGCUAUGAGAAAAUUUAAAAAUUACUUGCAUGUUUCAUAUUAUACUUCGAUUAGACACUACUGACUCAGAGUGAGUAUCAUAACGCUCAUUAAUUCCCUCGGCCAAUGUUUAUUGAGUGACUAACGUGAUAGAAUAAAGACACAAGCUGUGCUCUCAGAGGGCUGCCAUUCUAGGAGAGAGGCAGGUAUCUACAGGGCAAUAGCCCAGGGGUGAGGGUAGGAACGAAUAACAUGCUGAAUAACAGGGUGAGUGCUAUGGAAGCCCCAAGGAAAGGAAGACACUGGUGAAGAACAUAAUCAUGGAAGGCUUCGAGGAGAAGCUGAGUUUUAAAACACACAGGAAUUUUGGCAGUCCGAGGAAGUGAAGUCAGCAAUGUGUGAAGAGGUGCAGAUAUGGGGACAUGCCUGGCAUGUUUCAACAAACACAGGUAGUUCAGCGGGGUGCAGCUUUUAGAACAAACAGGAGAAUGAAUGGUGGAGAUGAAGCCAAGAAGAUAGGCUAAGAUUUCACCCAGAGACUUUGAACCUGAUGAGUUAGGCCUUGGAUCAGCAUUUUUGAUAGGCAUACCAGAUGCAGACCCCACUUUGAAAAAUGUUACUGCAGGUGAGAGGUGUUUAGUUUAGUUCAGCAGUGACAUGCCUGCAUUUAUGAAAGAUACUCUGAAAACAUAAGGAAGAUGUAGGGGGAGUGGUCUCCUGAAGGUGUAGACAGUGUCAGCUAUUUCAAUCAUCAAGGUGAAAAAUGAUGAAGAUCUGCCUUGGUCAGUUGGGGCCACUAUAACCAAAAUACUAUGGCCUGGGUGUCUUAAACAACAGAAACAUAUGCUUCACAAUUCUGAAGACUGGGACAUCCAAGAUCAAGAGGGUGGCUGAUUCUGGGGAGGGCUCUCUACCUAAAUUGCAGAGGGACACUUUCUUUAUGUGUCCUCACAUGGGGCAGUGAAACACACACACGCAUGCACGCACGCACGCACGCACACACACACAGGGGCAAUAUCUAGAGACAUUUUGAUUAUCAUGGAGAAUGCUACUGAAAUUUAUUAGGUAGAGGCUGAGAGGCUGAUACAUGUCCUAUAAAGCACAGGACAGAUUUCCUCCUCCAAGAAAGAGCUGUCUGGUCCAAAAUGUCAAUAGCAUUGUUGUGGUGAAACCCUGAUUUGGUCAAAGGAAGCUGUCUUGCCCAAUGUCACACUCCCUCCUAGGGCCAGUCCACAUCUAGUGCAGUGGUACAAAAACAUGGCCCCCCUUGCCUCAAUUUGGGAUAACUCAGAAGGGCUGUCCCAGCACCAGCAUUUUUUAUGGGAUUGGCUGAUGUCUCUAUUGCAACCACAUUGCAGUUCAACUUCUCCCUCUGUCCGAUCCUGCUUCCCUCACUUUCUUAUAAGUAUUGUUUCAAUAAUUUCUCCAAAAAACAGCCUGCAAGCAACUCUCUGAGAGUCUAUUUUCUGAAACCUGAUCUAAAACAGUUGGCACCAGGAAUGGUCCUAAGAUGCUGAUUGUUAAAUAGAAUUUUUAAAAAUUAUUUCAAUAGCAUUAGGGGUACACAUAGUUUUGAUUACACGGAUAAAUUGUAUAGUGAUGAAGUCUGGGAUUUUAGUGCACCCAUCAUCCAAAUACUGUACAUUGUACAAAAUUAGGGUAGUUUUUCAUCCCACGGCCCCCUCACAACCUCCCUCUUUCUGAGUUUCCAAUGUCCUUUAUAUCACUCCAUAUCUUUGCAUACCUGUAACUUAGCUCCCAUUUAUAAGUGAGAACA